rnacentral:rRNA from 1 species
GACGAACGCUGGCGGCGUGCUUAACACAUGCAAGUCGAACGAAGUGGCGGACGGGUGAGUAACGCGUAAUCAACCUGCCCUUCAGAGGGGGACAACAGUUGGAAACGACUGCUAAUACCGCAUACUGAAGGAGGGGAUGGCGUCGGAUUAGCUAGGUGGGGGGGUAACGGCCUACCAAGGCGAUGAGCAGUAGCCGGGCUGAGAGGAUGAACGGCCACAUUUGGACUGAGACACGGCCCAGACUCCUACGGGAGGCAGCAGUGGGGAAUCUUCCGAAAUGGACGAAAGUCUGACUGAGCAACGCCGGGUGAGUGAUGACGGCCUUCGGGUUGGAAAGCUCUGUUAAUCGGGACGCGGUACCGGAAGAGAAAGCCACGGCUAACUCCGUGCCAGCCGCCGCGGUAAUAC